rnacentral:rRNA from 1 species
UAUCCUGGCUCAGGAUGAACGCUGGCGGCGUGCUUAACACAUGCAAGUCGAACGGAGAUUGCUUUGACURAGACUUCGGUUGAAGUCGCUGCAAUCUUAGUGGCGGACGGGUGAGUAACGCGUGGGGAACCUGCCCUAUACCGGGGGAUAACAGUCGGAAACGGCUGCUAAUACCGCAUAAGCGCACAGCAUCGCAUGAUGCAGUGUGAA